rnacentral:sRNA from 1 species
CUGAAAUAACGAGCGAGAAAUAAGUCGCAAAUGC